rnacentral:lncRNA from 1 species
AUGGGACCCUCCAGAAGAAACCUGCCCAGAAAUCCUUCCCGCCAGAAGGAUGCCAGGAGAAACUGCCUCUACCUGCAAGAAAGGCGCACGAUGGCACCUGGGGAUAGGAGUCUUCCGACGGCACCGGAAUGGGAGAGAGCGCCAUUCCCGCAGAUCCCUGAGCAUGCUCUGCCUUUUUGGUCACAGCACAGAAAUAUUACGGAGGCUAGGCAAAAGUCCCCUCCACCACUCAUGUCGGAGGAAAUUUGGUCCUUUAUCCAUCUCUGCUAUAUGAAAGACGAUUUUAGCAUGACGAGUAUAGGCGGACUUUGUAAUUAAUUAUUUCUAAAAAUUCUGAGCUUGUCAUUUGAGAAAAGCUACAGGCUUAUCGCACCUUUUGGGGUUGUGUAAAGUGUGCUAAUAUCUCUAAAUUUCCAGGAAAGAGACUAAAUGCCAAAAAUUUUGGGAGAUCUAGGAAAGAGACCUUGCAAACGGCCGUACUGAGCUGGGUUUUGCUUUGAGUGCUCCAGUGGAGAAAAUGCGCCCUUAAAAGGGAUCACGGGCAACGUUCACGUCCAUGAGAGAGCUGCAGGCACUCUCCCUUUGUCUUCCCAUUCUCCAAAUUCCAUGACUGAGUUUUGUAUACGUUGAGAUUUACUUGCUGAAAUCUCGGAAUAGGGGCAGAAGUUUAAACGACUGAUAAAAGUGAUGUGCUCGUUGCGCUCAUCCUUGCGGGUGGGGGCAGGCGCGCUGCUGCGUGGGCAGGACCCGGGAUGGGGCCCUCCGUGGACCGACUUGUUCUUCUUUUGCUGUCCUGAUGUGGUGGAGGGGAAGAGCCACGGCCGGUGUCCCACCCUGCAGAUGACUUUGACCCCUUUGCUCCUGCCAUUUUUGACCUUACAAAAAUAAUUAAUUUUUUAAUAUACAGCAAGUUGAGUUUCCCGCGACGCUGUGCUUGGGACGCCUCAGCGCAGGGGCAGCGGUACCGAGCGCCUGUCUUUCGCAUCGCAGAAACCGACGCAGGUGCAGG